UCAGACGAUGCGUCAUGCAUAUCAAUAAGCGGAGGAAAAGAAACUAACAAGGAUUCCCCUAGUAACGGCGAGUGAAGCGGGAAGAGCUCAAAUUUGAAAUCUUCAAGGUUUGACCUUGACGAAUUGUAGUUUAAAGAAGUGUUUUCGGUUAGAGGAGUGGUAAAAGUUCUUUGGAAUAGGACAUCAUAGAGGGUGAGAAUCCCGUAUUUGACCAUUCUUUCUAGCUUUGUGAUACACUUUCAAAGAGUCGGAUUGCUUGGGAAUGCAGUCCAAAAUGGGUGGUAAAUUUCAUCUAAAGCUAAAUAUUGGCGAGAGACCGAUAGCGAACAAGUAUCGUGAGGGAAAGAUGAAAAGAACUUUGAAAAGAGAGUUAAACAGUACGUGAAAUUGUCAAAAGGGAAGUGUUUGACACCAGUGUUGUUUUUCCGAAAAUCAAUUAUAAAUGUUUUGUUUCUGAGGAGUGAUGACUUCAUCGGCUUCCUUCUCUCUUUACGAAACUUUUGUAAUGCACUUUUCGGUUAACAAGUCAACAUCAAUUUCUUUUGUUGUAAAAGAGUAUUCGGAAGGUGGCUUUCUUUUCGGAGAAAGUGUUUAUAGCCCUUUGAUCUCUGCAAUCGGAGAGACUGAGGUCUGCAGCGUAGAUCCUUCGGGGUUAGAUACAUUUGUGCUAAGCUACAGCUUUUCAUAGACAACUUGUUGACUAUGUUUAGUCUUGUAACUUACCCGCUUAUGCUAUUUUACCUACGCUUAGGAUGUUGAUAUGCAUGACUGAAU
rnacentral:rRNA from 1 species